rnacentral:rRNA from 1 species
GGAAUCUUCCGCAAUGGGCGAAAGCCUGACGGAGCAACGCCGCGUGAGUGAUGAAGGUCUUCGGAUCGUAAAACUCUGUUAUCAGGGAAGAACAAAUGUGUAAGUAACUGUGCACAUCUUGACGGUACCUGAUCAGAAAGCCACGGCUAACUACGUGCCAGCAGCCGCGGUAAUACGUAGGUGGCGAGCGUUAUCCGGAAUUAUUGGGCGUAAAGCGCGCGUAGGCGGUUUUUUAAGUCUGAUGUGAAAGCCCACGGCUCAACCGUGGAGGGUCAUUGGAAACUGGAAAACUUGAGUGCAGAAGAGGAAAGUGGAAUUCCAUGUGUAGCGGUGAAACGCGCAGAGAUAUGGAGGAACACCAGUGGCGAAGGCGACUUUCUGGUCUGUAACUGACGCUGAUGUGCGAAAGCGUGGGGAUCAAACA